CCUACGGGUGGCAGCAGUGAGGAAUAUUGGUCAAUGGGCUUACGCCUGAACCAGCCAAGUCGCGUGAGGGAAGACUGCCCUAUGGGUUGUAAACCUCUUUUGUCAGGGAGCAACGCCGGCUACGUGUAGCCGGACUGAGAGUACCUGAAGAAAAAGCAUCGGCUAACUCCGUGCCAGCAGCCGCGGUAAUACGGAGGAUUCAAGCGUUAUCCGGAUUUAUUGGGUUUAAAGGGUGCGUAGGCGGUUCGAUAAGUUAGAGGUGAAAUCCCGGGGCUCAACUCCGGCACUGCCUCUGAUACUGUCGGGCUAGAGUUUAGUUGCGGUAGGCGGAAUGUAUGGUGUAGCGGUGAAAUGCAUAGAGAUCAUACAGAACACCGAUUGCGAAGGCAGCUUACCAAACUACGACUGACGUUGAGGCACGAAAGCGUGGGGAGCAAACAGGAUUAGAUACCCGGGUAGUC
rnacentral:rRNA from 1 species